rnacentral:lncRNA from 1 species
ACAUAUUUUUGAGUAAAAACUUGGAGCAACUCUUUAACCUUCUUUGCCUUUGAUCUUAUUACUGGUCCACUGAAACUUUCCAGGUUUGGAACUGUAUUUGUGUUUACAUCAUUUGAAUUUUUUUCUAAGUCACCUUCUGAUGCUUUUUGAGUAUCUUGAGUGUUUUUAGCCUCGUUUGCGUCACCAUUGAUCUUAGACUUGAUCAUCACUUGGCUAGCCAUCUUCACCACCAAAUUUGACAUAGACGACACUGACCUUCAUAUUGCCUGCCCGCAAGCCACCUUAGAUAUACGCACCUUAGACUACAUAGGCCUCCUAAAAAUGAAAGAUGGCAGUCCCUGCUUUAUAUACUUGGGCCAUUCAUACCAUGUCGCAAGCGAAUCUACAAGCUGCAUGACCAACAAGCACAAUAAGAACCAGGCCCACCUUCCCCCAACUUCCAAGAAUUCAUGGAUCGCACCAUGCUGCACAUUGGGAUAAUCGAGGCUAAAUUACACUCCAUGGACUUCGCCCUCCAUGAGUUGAAUGAGAAAAUAGAAGCCUUGUCGUAGCUACUAACUUAGAGUGUCCAAUCAUCCACCCCAAGCGCAACCAGUGACCACCAGAGGAGUUUCUUACCACUUUUCCUUUCACUUUACAUUCAUUUUCUGUAAUUUUAUUAAUAAUUUAUGAUUUAUUCACACUCGUUUAUUUUUUUUUUCAAAACUCUUUACUUUGACUUCAUUACCUUUUGCCUUGCAACUCACUCUGAAGUGUAUGCAUGGCCUUGCCCAAGGCUUCGGCCACAUGAAUCAUGACCAAACGUUGUUUCCCAAUGCACCCCACCUCCAAGUCACGAAACCAGGGGGGUAAUCUAUCCUUUCAUUUUACUUUUAAUUCUUUAUAUUACAUUGGGGACAAUGUGUAGUUUAAGUAU